AGAGAUAUAACCAUUAGUUCUGCUAAAACUAAGAUCCGGUGCCCGUUAUAACCGGUAUCUCU
rnacentral:tRNA from 1 species